rnacentral:rRNA from 1 species
GACGAACGCUGGCGGCGUACCUAAUACAUGCAAGUUGAGCGCUGAAGGUUGGUACUUGUACCAACUGGAUGAGCAGCGAACGGGUGAGUAACGCGUGGGGAAUCUGCCUUUGAGCGGGGGACAACAUUUGGAAACGAAUGCUAAUACCGCAUAAAAACUUUAAACACAAGUUUUAAGUUUGAAAGAUGCAAUUGCAUCACUCAAAGAUGAUCCCGCGUUGUAUUAGCUAGUUGGUGAGGUAAAGGCUCACCAAGGCGAUGAUACAUAGCCGACCUGAGAGGGUGAUCGGCCACAUUGGGACUGAGACACGGCCCAAACUCCUACGGGAGGCAGCAGUAGGGAAUCUUCGGCAAUGGACGAAAGUCUGACCGAGCAACGCCGCGUGAGGGAAGAAGGGUUUCGGAUCGUAAAACUCUGUUGGUAGAGAAGAACGUUGGUGAGAGUGGAAAGCUCAUCAAGUGACGGUAACUACCCAGAAAGGGACGGCUAACUACGUG